GGAUAGCUCAGUUGGUUAGAGCGCGGUGCUGAUAAUGCCAAGGUUGCAUGUUCUAACCCCGUUAGGGACA